rnacentral:rRNA from 1 species
CUACGCCGGGCUAUUGCACAUCCCAAUGGGUUGGUCAUUCAUAAAGAUGCCUGCAAAGGUUUAGAAGUGGUCGUGGACAAUGUGUUCCCUGGAGUAGAGCAUAGGGAAUGCAUGUGUCACCUUGCUGCAAAUUUCAUGAAGAAAUUCAAAGGAAAGGUGUAUACCGACAAUUUAUGGCCAGCAUCUUUGACUUGCAGUGUGAAGAAGCACAACUACCACUUGAGGCAGUUAUACAUGAAUCCCAAAGUGAAAGAAUACUUGGAAACACACCACUCCAAGUUAUGGGCCAGAAGUCAAUUCAGUGAACUGAGCAAAGUUGAUUAUGUGCACAAUAAUCUAGCAGAGUCUUUCAACUCAAUGAUCCGGAAA